rnacentral:lncRNA from 1 species
GUGAUAAAUCUGAGCGAUGUGAAAACAUUUUUUCACAUAUUUAACUGUAAAUUAACUCAUAAUGAUUACACUCACAAUUUUUAUUAUACAAAAUCAAAUCCCUUAUUCACUGCGCACAAUCUCAGAUUCGGAAAAGGCAGUACCCAAAAAAUGGCGGCGUGUGAAAGGCUAAUAGACUUCAUGCAUAAUGACGUCACAAGCCUUGAUGGCCGCGAGAAAUGGUGGUCUUAAUAGGAGUCAUCGUCUGGGAAAAUUUCGAUAGUGGCCAUUUCGAAUUAUUUAAUUUUCCCGGGCGAUGACUACUAAGACCAGCAUUCCUCGCGCGGGCAUCAAGCCUUGUGACGUCAUUAUGCAUAAGGUAUAUUCCGCCAUUUUUGCCUUCACAUUCCAGAUACUACAGAGCUCACUGGGCCUAUCAAGUAUAAUCUGUUCAUCCUGGAGGUCCAGUAUAAGUGUCAUCUCAUUUCCAGUCGUUCAAAUUAAGAGAAUAACCAGUGAUUUAUGAAAUACAUUGUUUCAAUCGAUAAUUCAAUCGGUAGUUUCAUUCGAGGUAGCGUUCAAGGUUUUCUUCAGUGGGCAAAAAUUAUGUAUAGGGAAGGUCAUAGGAAUGCUUGUACAUGGA